GUGUGCCCUAAGAUUGGCUGAGAAUCAGUUCAGGGUGUACUUCGCCGACUGCCCGAAGGCUCCAGCAAGCCCUGCGCACAUCGGCCAUUUUUCAGAUCAUUUUUCUGACGAUCCGGACUGACUGGAAACAAGACGAAGGCGAAGGAGCAGUCAUCCGGCUGCUCGGAGGAUCCUCAUAAGACACCCUCAGCAGUUCUAGCAGGUGGACACUCCCUAUUCCACUGACCCGAUGCGUUAUCUUCUUAAUUGGCGUCACGACAGCCCGCAGCAGCCACCAGCACCACCAUCCUCAUCAUCCUCAUCAUCAUCACCACCACGUCUGCUUCCUGUCGAGCAGUAAUGACGUAUGUUGAAUAAUUGAGCGUCAUUAUCAAAGACGAAGCCUGGCUUGUUGUGUUGUGCUGUGAAAAGUUGCUGUGAUGUCGGGCACUCAUGACUUAUUCACCGGCGCCUCCAUCCUGUUUGUCUUCGUUUUUCACGCCACGCAAACAGCAAAAAUGACACGAGAUGAAAAAAAAGUAGCAUUCCACUGUGGGGAAAAGUGAGUGUUUACAGCAGCGGUCCCCAAACAGCGGGCCGCGGGCCAUUCUGCAGCGGGCCGCACAGCGGAAAAAAGUUCCAGUGCUUUAUUUAUCAUCAUCCGAGGCUGGAAAAGUAUUUUAUUUUGAAAAGUGACCAGAUUCUCUCGGUUACAUCCACCUAUGACUGACUUUUAAUGCAUCUCAAGAUAUUAAUCAUGUUGAUCGCAUAACCCCUGGAUUAACCCCAUCAACUUGCAAAAUGACUAAAAACACAUUUCACAGACGAAUACCUAGGUGCGACCUAUUGAAAUCUAGAUUUGUCACCACAGGUAAUUCCCACUUUGCACGAUAUUUAAAUGUGGAGAUAUUUUGACUUUUUUUUGAAAGUCUUUGCAGAUUUGUAAAUGUAAAUUGUUUCAAAAAAUAAAAAGUACCCGUUAAUUUUGUUUUAUUAACUAUCCUGUGUAGCAGCCUAUAAUUCUUGCACAACAAUCAAAGUGAGUCACAAAACAACUUUUAGACCUUUUAUUUGAAGAAGAAGAAUUGUUCACUGUAUUUUACCAAACUUCUUUUUGUUAUGAACAUACUAAUCUACAACCAGUUCAGGGUGUCCCACACCUGCUGCCCAAAGACGGCUGGGCUAGGCUCCAGCACCCCCCGCGACCCUCGUGAGGAGAAGCGGAUUAGAAAAUGGAUAGAUGGAUGGAUAAACGAC